UUGGGGUGGCUCUGAGAUAACGUUGCAAAAAUACCCCGGUGUAGAACGAGCGGCUGGGGCGGCGGCUGCUCGAUGGAGAACGAAGGCGACGGCUGGAGCUCACGGGGGUCGGAUCCGGGACCGGCAGGGCCUGGGGACGCCGAUUCAGAGGUGGGAGGAUGGGUCGCAAGUGAAGAGAGGGAGGUGAGGAAGAGAAGAAGGAAGAAAGGAGGGGAGGGCAGGAGCUCGCCGGAGACGGGCGACGGCGGACGGACGGCCGCGGGAGACGGAGGGAUCCAGAGCCGCCCGUUCGGGCGACACCAAUCAGGCCACGGGUGGAGUACGAACGAGGACUUGACCACUAGACACACAAAAAUGACAACCAGUAGGCGCUUUCGGACACCCGACAGAUUGACAGCACAGAAGCAAAGAUAUCCAAUACGAGGCCAUGAUGCCCAGCAGAGACGUAGCAACAAAGCUUGAUGGAAAAGCUCGACAGAAUAACAUGGUUACAACUAACAGUCUGACGGCCUAAAUCAAGUAUGUUCCUUCUUCCCCUGCCUGAUUAAUAUACACCAGCUCUAUGAUCUAUCUCAAAUAUUUUCAAUCACUGAAAAGUAUCUACCCAAAUAUAAAUCAAGUAUGUAGUUUUGUAGUGGAAUCUCUAAAAAGACAUAUUUAGAAACAGAGGGAGUACAAUCAAGGAGUUGUGAUCAAGCUGCGGCGGCGGUCGCCUGACCAUCGACGAUGAGUGCCUCGGGGAUGCCCCAGCUUUCAUGUAUGUGAUGGCUUGCCAACAAAUUUUCUUGUCAUGGUAACGUUUAUUUAAGAUCGCAAUGUUCUAGCCCCAAAAUAGAAGCUAGCCAUCGGAUAUGUUUGCACUGGUUACUACAGGAUGCAAGAGGCACAUAAGUUCUCAAAUGAUUUCAUGGCAUCCGUACAAGCGAUGAAGGAGGGAAUUUUUAAUGUAUAAAGGCAUACAAACUUGACCUAAAUAAGUGCCCUUGUGUUUCUGUUAUAUUUUCCUAUGGCUGCGAUAUUGUAACUUAAAUUAAAUAGUGUUGUGUUUGUCUCAGCUCUCUUCAUGCAAAUUGCUGCUAUACCUAUAUGUUCCUCUCAGUACUGCUAAUGGAAUGGCAUUUCAAUUCAUAUACAACAAGUGCAAUUACAUCUUGUGAAAUAUCAGUUUUUAGUUAUAUUCUGUGUAGUCCAGCAAAAUGCAGUUAGAAUCUCUCAUAAUUCAGCUAAUGGAGAUGUUAUAUUUUUGUUCUGUGGUUAAAUGCAGUCACAGUCUGUCAAAAUCAAGAUAAAUGAAGUCACAUGUAUGGCCAAAUUAUUGCUUCAGGUACUGUACAAAGUGCACUUCACAUGCAUGACACAAGGAUCGACCAGGACAACACUUUACAGAACCCUGCAACACAACCACUGACAGUAACGUAGUUCUCAAUGAACACCUGAGGUUACAUAACUAACACAUCAACAGGAUUGAAUCCGUUGUCAGUAUAGAAAAUGUUGGCUCGGAUGUUAUGUGCACAACCUGUGAGAUGGUUGUUGUUUGGAUAGAGAAUCAGCUCCAUGAAAACAAAACAAAGGAGCUGAUAUUGCAAUAGGUUAACCAGGUUACUUUGUGAUUUGCCUUGCCCUUUACCAUUCUCUGAUGCAAUGUAAUUCGUGAAAGAAAGGUAACAGGUGACAAUACUUUUGCCUUUUAUUCCAGCUGUGUGAACAUUUACGGAGCCCGAACGGGGAGUCCACAGUCAGCUGCUGUGAGACCUCGAAAAUGCGGGUUCUUUUUUCGUUGCUUACAGCGAGAGCCGUUGUUGUGGAUGAGAACAACCACCAUGGAUCCCUCGCUCCAAGUCAUGGUCCAAGUUGCUGAAUGUCCACAAGAAAAUUUAUCUAUUAGUUGCUGAAAAACAACCCAGCCACCUACAUUUGGCUGGACCAUAUAUGUUUGAUUAAUGUUUAAUGAAACGGCCCAUGUUCCAGCAGAUCCUUGCAUUUUGUGGCAUCUACAAUGCUAGGAACUGCAUCCCGAGGGGCAUUAGAGACAGCGGCGGCAUUGGAGCAGGUGCAUCAUGCGAUUUGGUUGAGACGCACAUAUCACUAUCUUGUUUCUGAUGGUGUGUCUACACUGGCUACUACAUGCUGCUCUCCAAUCUAUACACAACAAAGAAACAGUACUCUGAAGCAGGUUUGUUGAAGAACAAGGUCAAGAGCAGGAAGAUGAUGAAAACACCAGGAUGUACUCUAAUUGAGAUAGGUGAAAAACAACAUCUCUUCGUGGCUGACAUACUUCAUGUUUUAGUUUGAUAUUACUGUAUGGUUUAGUUCAUGAGUCCACAGGUUAAGUUCAUGGCUCAUGUUUAUUCUCCGGUGUAUUUGGCAAGUCUCACUUAUUAAUUAGUAGUAUCGCUCUACAUCAUGGCCACACCACGUGAUAUGAGCUUAGUUUUUUCAUACUGAACACUUAACUGGAUUAAAACUAUAAGUGGGUUUCUGACUAUUUGUCGGUAGAUCAAA